UACGGAGGGUGCAAGCGUUAAUCGGAAUUACUGGGCGUAAAGCGCACGCAGGCGGUCUGUCAAGUCGGAUGUGAAAUCCCCGGGCUCAACCUGGGAACUGCAUCCGAAACUGUCAGGCUAGAGUCUUGUAGAGGGGGGUAGAAUUCCAGGUGUAGCGGUGAAAUGCGUAGAGAUCUGGAGGAAUACCGGUGGCGAAGGCGGCCCCCUGGACAAAGACUGACGCUCAGGUGCGAAAGCGUGGGGAGCAAACAGGAUUAGAUACCCUGGUAGUCCACGCCGUAAACGAGGUCGACUGGGAGGUUGGGCCCUUGAGGCGUGGCUUCCGGAGCUAACGCGUUAAGUAGACCGCCUGGGGAGUACGGCCGCAAGGUUAAA
rnacentral:rRNA from 1 species